GAUGAAGAACGUAGCGAAAUGCGAUAAGUAAUGUGAAUUGCAGAAUUCAGUGAAUCAUCGAAUCUUUGAACGCAUCUUGCGCUCCUUGGUAUUCUGAGGAGCAUGCCUGUUUGAGUGUCAUUAAAUUCUCAACUACACUGACUUGAAUUGGUGUGGCUUGGAUUUGGGGGGAAAAUUGUUGUGGGCUUUUUGUAUAGUCUGCUCCCCUGAAAUUGAUUAGCGGUACCUUUGUGGAACUGUCUACAGGUGUGAUAAUUAUCUACAUCUUAGACAUCUGCUGGAAUGCUGCUUUCUAAACCUUACUUGUAUUGACAAUCUUGACCUCAAAUCAGGUAGGACUACCCGCUGAACUUAAGCAUAUCAAUAAGCGGAGGA
rnacentral:misc_RNA from 1 species